AUUGAACGCUGGCGGCAGGCCUAACACAUGCAAGUCGAACGAGUGGCGGACGGGUGAGUAAUGUCUGGGAAUCUGCCCGAUGGAGGGGGAUAACUACGGGAAACAGUAGCUAAUACCGCAUACCAUCGGAUGUGCCCAGAUGGGAUUAGUUAGUAGGUGGGGUAACGGCUCACCUAGCCGACGAUCCCUAGCUGGUCUGAGAGGAUGACCAGCCAAACUGGAACUGAGACACGGCCCAGACCCCUACGGGAGGCAGCAGUGGGGAAUAUUGAGCAAGGGGGGCAACCCUGACGCAGCCAUGCCGCGUGUAUGAAGAAGGCCUUCGGGUUGUAAAGUACUUUCUGUGAGGAGGCGUUACUUACAGAAGAAGCACCGGCUAACUCCGUGCCAGCAGCCGCGGUAAUAC
rnacentral:rRNA from 1 species